GAUGAACGCUGGCGGCGUGCCUAAUACAUGCAAGUCGAGCGAACGGACGAGAAGCUUGCUUCUCUGAUGUUAGCGGCGGACGGGUGAGUAACACGUGGAUAACCUACCUAUAAGACUGGGAUAACUUCGGGAAACCGGAGCUAAUACCGGAUAAUAUUUUGAACCGCAUGGUUCAAAAGUGAAAGACGGUCUUGCUGUCACUUAUAGAUGGAUCCGCGCUGCAUUAGCUAGUUGGUAAGGUAACGGCUUACCAAGGCAACGAUGCAUAGCCGACCUGAGAGGGUGAUCGGCCACACUGGAACUGAGACACGGACCAGACUCCUACGGGAGGCAGCAGUAGGGAAUCUUCCGCAGUGGGCGAAAGCCUGACGGAGCAACGCCGCGUGAGUGAUGAAGGUCUUCGGAUCGUAAAACUCUGUUAUUAGGGAAGAACAUAUGUGUAAGUAACUGUGCACAUCUUGACGGUACCUAAUCAGAAAGCCACGGCUAACUACGUG
rnacentral:rRNA from 1 species